GAAGCUGGAAUCGCUAGUAAUCGCAGGUCAGCAUACUGCGGUGAAUACGUUCCCGGGUCUUGUACACACCGCCCGUCACACCAUGGGAGCCGGAAAUGCCCGAAGCCAGUGACCCAACCUUAGGGAGGGAGCUGUCGAAGGUGGAGCCGGUAACUGGGGUGAAGUCGUAACAAGGUACC
rnacentral:rRNA from 1 species